UAAAUGUCUGGGAAACUGCCUGAUGGAGGGGGAUAACUGCUGGAAACGGUAGCUAAUACCGCAUAACGUCGCAAGACCAAAGUGGGGGACCUUCGGGCCUCAUGCCAUCAGAUGUGCCCAGAUGGGAUUAGCUAGUAGGUGGGGUAACGGCUCACCUAGGCGACGAUCCCUAGCUGGUCUGAGAGGAUGACCAGCCACACUGGAACUGAGACACGGUCCAG
rnacentral:rRNA from 1 species